UGGGAAAGUUCGUUCGGGGUUUUCCAUAGCAUAUGGUGAAUCAGAACGAACUUUUUGGCCA
ensembl:miRNA